CUCUGUUUCUUCGGACCCUUAAGGUCAGAGGAGCCGUCACAGGACCCCAAGAGAAAUCCGUGUGGCUCUUGUGUAAAUGGCAGUCUGAAAAUGCCAAAGAAUUCACACCCUCCAGGAAUGGCCUUGAUCAAAGACACUCCCUCGGCUGAGAUGAUUCUGAAGUCUGUUGUAGGCAGAUUUCCAAUGUUUUCACGUGGGUUGAACUUCACUGGUUGCAGCAGCUGACGACAGCACACCUUUCCUGACUGCAUUCCCUUCCCCAGGCUCUCCCACCUGCUUUUGGUGCCAUCUUGCUCUCCCAAAUAAACUACUUGAACUUGUC